GAUGAACGCUGGCGGCGUGCCUAAUACAUGCAAGUCGAGCGAACAGACGAGGAGCUUGCUCCUCUGACGUUAGCGGCGGACGGGUGAGUAACACGUGGAUAACCUACCUAUAAGACUGGGAUAACUUCGGGAAACCGGAGCUAAUACCGGAUAAUAUAUUGAACCGCAUGGUUCAAUAGUGAAAGACGGUUUUGCUGUCACUUAUAGAUGGAUCCGCGCCGCAUUAGCUAGUUGGUAAGGUAACGGCUUACCAAGGCGACGAUGCGUAGCCGACCUGAGAGGGUCGUGAGGCAGAAGGCGACUGUGAGACGGUCCGGACGCCUACGGGAGGCAGCAGUAGGGAAUGUGCGGCGAUGGGCGAAAGCCUGACGGAGCAAAGUCGCGUGAGGGAUGAAUGUCUUAGGAUCGUAAAAAGCUGUUACGAGUGAAGAAAAAAUGCGUAAGUAAAGACGAACGUCGGGACGCGACGUAAGAAGAAAGAAAAGGCUAACCACGUG
rnacentral:rRNA from 1 species